GACGGAGGAUGCAAGUGUUAUCCGGAAUCACGGGGCGUAAAGCGUCUGUAGGUGGUUUAAAAAGUCUACUGUUAAAAAUUGAAGCUUAACUUCAAAGAUGCCGUAGAAACUUUUAAACUUGAGGAUGGUAGGGGUAGAGGGAAUUUCCAGUGGAGCGGUGAAAUGCGUAGAUCUUGGAAAGACCACCAAUGGCGAAGGCACUCUACUGGGCCAUGACUGACACUAAGAGACGAAAGCUAGGGGAGCAAAUGGG
rnacentral:rRNA from 1 species